rnacentral:rRNA from 2 species
GCGAGGGAAAUCAAGUACCGAAGUUCCUGAUUCCACACUGCCAAGAAAAGCCUCUAGCGAGGAAACAGGCGCCCGUACCGCAAACCGACACAGGUAGGCGAGGAGAGAAUCCUAAGGUGAUCGAGAGAACUCUCGUUAAGGAACUCGGCAAAAUGACCCCGUAACUUCGGGAGAAGGGGUGCUCCUGCGGGUGAAAGCCUGCGGGAGCCGCAGUGAAUAGGCCCAGGCGACUGUUUAGCAAAAACACAGGUCUCUGCGAAGCCGUAAGGCGAAGUAUAGGGGCUGACACCUGCCCGGUGCUGGAAGGUUAAGAGGAGGGGUUNUAGACAUAGUCGAAGGUGCGAAUUGAAGCCCCAGUAAACGGCGGCCGUAACUAUAACGGUCCUAAGGUAGCGAAAUUCCUUGUCGGGUAAGUUCCGACCCGCACGAAAGGCGCAACGAUCUGGGCACUGUCUCAACGAGAGACUCGGUGAAAUUAUAGUAUGCGUGAAGAUGCGCAUUACCCGCGACAGGACGGAAAGACCCCGUGGAGCUUUACUGCACCCUGAUAUUGACUGUCUGUGCAGCUUGUACAGGAUAGGUAGGAGCCUGAGAAGCAUGAGCGCCAGCUUGUGUGGAGGCACUGGUGGGAUACUACCCUGGCUGUAUGGACCGUCUAACCCGCGGCCCUGAUCGGGUCGGGAAACAGUGUCAGGCAGGCAGUUUGACUGGGGCGGUCGCCUCCUAAAGAGUAACGGAGGCGCCCAAAGGUUCCCUCAGAAUGGUUGGAAAUCAUUCGCAGAGUGCAAAGGCAGAAGGGAGCUUGACUGCGAGACCUACAAGUCGAGCAGGGACGAAAGUCGGGCUUAGUGAUCCGGCGGUGCCGUAUGGAAGGGCCGUCGCUCAACGGAUAAAAGCUACCCUGGGGAUAACAGGCUUAUCUCCCCCAAGAGUCCACAUCGACGGGGAGGUUUGGCACCUCGAUGNUGGAAGGGCCAUCGCUCAACGGAUAAAAGCUACCCCGGGGAUAACAGGCUUAUCUCCCCCAAGAGUUCACAUCGACGGGGAGGUUUGGCACCUCGAUGUCGGCUCAUCGCAUCCUGGGGCUGUAGUCGGUCCCAAGGGUUGGGCUGUUCGCCCAUUAAAGCGGUACGCGAGCUGGGUUCAGAACGUCGUGAGACAGUUCGGUCCCUAUCCGUCGCGGGCGUAGGAAAUUUGAGAGGAGCUGUCCUUAGUACGAGAGGACCGGGAUGGACAUACCGCUGGUGUACCAGUUGUUCCGCCAGGAGCAUCGCUGGGUAGCUACGUAUGGACGGGAUAAGUGCUGAAAGCAUCUAAGCAUGAAGCCCCCCUCAAGAUGAGAUUUCCCAUGGCGUAAGCCAGUAAGACCCCUUAGAGAUGAUGAGGUUGAUAGGUCAGAAGUGGAAGUGUGGCGACACAUGGAGCGGACUGAUACUAAUCGGUCGAGGGCUUAUNUGGGCGCAGGAAAUUUGAGAGGAGCUGUCCUUAGUACGAGAGGACCGGGAUGGACGCACCGCUGGUGUACCAGUUGUCUUGCCAAAGGCAUCGCUGGGUAGCUAUGUGCGGAAGGGAUAAGUGCUGAAAGCAUCUAAGCAUGAAGCCCCCCUCAAGAUGAGAUUUC